rnacentral:tRNA from 1 species
AAUUAAGUAGCUAAGUAGUUAAAGUAGAGGAUUUAAAUAUUUUCUUAAUCUCCUUUUCUUAAAAGAGAGUAUAGGUUUAAACCCUACUUUUAUUA